rnacentral:misc_RNA from 1 species
ACCAUCGAAACGCAAUACGCCGCGUAGACUUCGGUCACGACGGUAUGGCGAGCUUUCGCCGUCCACGUUUCUCUUUCUUCAAGAAGACAAAGAACCGCGUCGAUCCAGUUUAGGCUGGACCGGUUUGACGAGAAUGGGCCCGUAGCUCAGUUGGUUAGAGCACACGCUGAUAAGCGUGGG